GCUAUUGUAGUAUAAACAUUACCCUGGUCUUGUAAACCAGUAAUUGCCUAGCACUAUAGCU
rnacentral:tRNA from 1 species